rnacentral:rRNA from 1 species
CCUACGGGGGGCUGCAGUGGGGAAUAUUGCACAAUGGGGGAAACCCUGAUGCAGCGACGCCGCGUGAAGGAAGAAGUAUUUCGGUAUGUAAACUUCUAUCAGCAGGGAAGAAAAUGACGGUACCUGACUAAGAAGCCCCGGCUAACUACGUGCCAGCAGCCGCGGUAAUACGGAGGGGGCAAGCGUUAUCCGGAUUUACUGGGUGUAAAGGGAGCGUAGGCGGCGAUGCAAGUCAGAAGUGAAAGCCCGGGGCUCAACUCCGGGACUGCUUUUGAAACUGUGUUGCUAGAUUGAAGGAGAGGUAAGUGGAAUUCCUAGUGUAGCGGUGAAAUGCGUAGAUAUUAGGAGGAACACCAGUGGCGAAGGCGGCUUACUGGACUGUAAAUGACGCUGAGGCUCGAAAGCGUGGGGAGCAAACAGGAUUAGAUACCCUAGUAGUC